rnacentral:tRNA from 4 species
GCCGCGGUAGCUCAGUUCGGUAGAGCGACGGGCUGUUAACCCGUUGGUCGAAGGUUCGAGUCCUUCCCGCGGCGCCA